rnacentral:rRNA from 1 species
UACGUAGGAGGCAAGCGUUAUCCGGAAUGACUGGGCGUAAAGGGUGCGUAGGUGGUUUGGCAAGUUGGCAGCGUAAUCCCGGGGCUCAACUCCGGUGCUACUGCCAAAACUGUCGGACUUGAGUGCAGGAGGGGUGAAUGGAAUUCCUAGUGUAGCGGUGGAAUGCGUAGAUAUUAGGAAGAACACCAGCGGCGAAGGCGAUUCACUGGACUGUAACUGACACUGAGGCACGAAAGCGUGGGGAGCAAACAGG